UAGCGGCGGACAGAGACGCGGGUUUCCAUGGCAACAGGAAACCGGAAGUGACGCUACGCUGUGUAGCGCUGGAGACUACAUGAGAAAGGAUCCAGGACGGCACUAUGGCAACAAGCACACCCCCGAAAAACAACCGGAAGUGACGUUACGCCGCAUAUCGCAAGAGGACACACUGGAAAGGAAUACAGACAGGGCACUAUGACAACAGGCCCGCCCUUUACAGAAAUUCCAGACGAGGAUUGGUGCUUCCAUGAGGAUAGAGACGCCCACAGCAAAGGACCAUGGGACUGGUAGUUUUUUAUGUAUAGGGUCCAGCUGGGCAAUUAGGAUUCAAAUUGGUGCUGCAUUUAAUUAGCAGCCAAAAUGAGGAGGUCAGCAUUCAGACUUUUUUUGAACCUUGACAAAGACCCCAGCUCGGGGUGGAAACGCGUUGGUUAUCUCCUGACAAGCCAGAGGACAGACUUAAAGACCAGUAUCUAGUAAGAUCCAUGAAUAGGAGGUGGUUUUCCUGCAAAUCACUGUACCUGUCAGAUCCCGGCAGUUUUUCAGAAACAUCUUAAUCUCAUCCACUUCUUUGUCUGCAAUUUCCUUUUUGGCGCUGUAAGAUAAAUAAUACGCAGUGCACUGGACCAGAGAGGAGCUGCCAGUAAGAAGAGACAGGAGCCCUACCAUGAGGUGGGAGAAGAUAUCACCUGGCAACGCAGACAUGUUUGGGAUUGGCUCCCUGCCCGUCGCUGUCUGUUGACGUCAGUGCCCUGAGACCCGUGCAUCGCACGGAUGGACGCAACGCUGGCGGCGGCGCU